UACGAAGGGGGCUAGCGUUGCUCGGAAUCACUGGGCGUAAAGGGUGCGUAGGCGGGUCUUUAAGUCGGGGGUGAAAUCCUGGAGCUCAACUCCAGAACUGCCUUCGAUACUGGGAAACUUGAGUCCGGGAGAGGUGAGUGGAACUGCGAGUGUAGAGGUGAAAUUCGUAGAUAUUCGCAAGAACACCAGUGGCGAAGGCGGCUCACUGGCCCGGUACUGACGCUGAGGUGCGAAAGCGUGGGGAGCAAACAGG
rnacentral:rRNA from 1 species